GUGCUUCGUAUUCAAGAAAGAGCGAUAGCAACAGUACAAAACCCAACAACUGUACGUAUAUAUUUGGCAACUCUGAAUAGAAAUAUGUGGAACAAUGUGAACGUAUUAUGACUGUUUGGAGGCAUGCAUAAGGCCACAGUGGCUGCUGCCAGUGUUGAUGCCAGAAAUGCAAUAAUCCACCAAGAACAAGACUGCAUGCAAGCUCUGGCAGAACUCGUAUAAUGAAACACUUUAUACAUGUCGCUAUGUACGGUAUAUAUUUAACAACCUAUGAACAGAAAUCGUACUUUUAAAUUUUGUAUUUGACUUGAUGUUGGUAUUUCUGUUUGAAUUAAUUUUGAAGCAUAUUAUAGACUUAUUGUAUUCGGUUUUAAAAUUGAACAUGGUCAUGGAUACUACUAGUGGUCUGGUUUCGACAUACAAAAAUACAUUGAAAUAAACAUUUAUAGAAUAACAUUUUCGAAAACCUUACAAUAUAUACAUCAACACAACUCACAAGAUCUGAAGUCAUCAACACAUGCACGCAGUUCUACGAAACAAAAGUCUGAACUUGAUCAACAACAAGAAAUAUAUACGACAAUUUGAACGAUAUUGUAUUUGUGUACUAUAUAUAUGUAUGAGUAGGGUUGAUAAUGAAAGAAGUAUAUAGCGUGCAGACGAUGUUAUGUGAAGCUACUCUGAAUGGUGCGACACUGCGACACUGGGCAAGCUGAACAUUUGCAUGAUCGUGGUGGCCAUUGGGUCCAUUGGCCAAGGAACCUGAUUGGAACGUAAAUGACGGGUACAAAAUAAUCAUUUAAGAUAAUGUUGCGCACAAUCUCUGAAGCAAACUGGUGAUUUUAAUGGUAUACGAUAAUACACACACAUUCAUAUGGCGGCCAUUUUAACACUUAUAGAAGAGAAGUAAAUGUCAGUCGU